UGUGUUCCUUUCUGCUCUGACAAUGGCAUGCCCAUUCGUGCGAGAUGUGGUGGAUGAAGAAGCACUUGUGCUGAGGAGAGCCUUCAGGCGAGAAAGGGUCUUCAGGGCCGGUUGGACCCACUGGCCUUCCCUGAUGACCAUCUAUAUGAAAGAUACAGGUUUUCUGCAGAUGGCAUCAGGUAUCUAUGCAGACUACUGGGUCCCAGGAUUAAGCACCGCACUGCACGGAGCCAUGCACUGAGUGUGGAGCAAAUGGUUUGUGUGGCCUUGCGCUUUUUUGCUAGUGGAGCCUUCCUGUACUCAGUGGGGAUGCUGAACAAGGCCACAAUUUGCCGCACAAUAAGGAGUGUGUGUCUGGCUAUCAAAGCAUUAGCAGAUGUCUUCAUCUCCUUCCCUGGCCACAGAAGACUCAGUGACAUCAAAGAGGAGUUCUAUAGGAUUGCAGAUGGUCUGCAAUGCUGACUGUGUGAUCAGCAAUGUUGUGGCAAAAUGGCCUGGCUCAGUCCAUGACUCCAGAAUCUUUCGGGCCUCUGAAAUCUAUCACAAGGUGAAUUCUCUGGUGUGUUGCUGGGAGACAGGGGGUAUGGCUGCCAGCCUUUUCUCCUGACACCUUUCACAGACCCCCAGGAAGCACAGCAGGCCUACAACCAUGCCCAUGCCAGGACCAGGGCCAGAGUUGAAAUGACCUUUGGCCUCCUGAAGGCACGCUUUCACUGCCUUCACAAAUUAAGGGUCAGCCCUGUUAGGGCAUGUGAUAUUACUGUGGCUUGUGCUGUCCUCCACAAUGUGGCCUGCCUGAGGAAGGAGAGGGCCACCAGCCAUGGACUGGGACAAUCCGGCAAUCUUCCCUGAUGACGACAGUGGUCGGCUGCUGAGGGACCAAUAUGUGUUGAAUUAUUUUAGUUAGUAUGUGUGCUUUCAAUUUUGGUUAAAUAUGUCCUGCGGUGGCAGAGGAAUU